rnacentral:rRNA from 1 species
CACGAAACUGUGCGAGCUAACCAAUAACGCUUUUAGUAAAUGUAUGUAGCAUAAUAUAACGAAGAAGAUUGGUUGGGGGUGAUAGGCUUUACAAGCUCAGUGAUAUCUUGAUUUCUUUGAAAUGUUUUAAUACACUCACAAAACGAAAGUGAUAAGGUUUUCGUCUGUCAUUAGUUUUAAAUUCUUUGGGACAUUGACUUAACAGUCAGUGGGACUAAAUAUUAAUAUAACUAUUAAAUUUCUGUGGCGUUUAAAAGAAAGUUACAAAACACACGAAAAAAUCUAUAAUGUUGUUAUGAGUACUGUUUUAGUUGCUAUUAGUGAACUCGGCUAUAAGCUCUCAACUGUUUAUCAAAAACAUAGCCACAUGCAUUUACUUGUGGUAGUUUCUGCUCAAUGAGAAAUUAAAUGGCCGCAGUACCCUGACUGUGCAAAGGUAGCGUAAUCAGUUGUCUUUUAAUUGAAGUCUUGUAUGAACGAAUAUAUGGGGGCCUUCUAUACCAGUAGUAUUAACGGAAGUUACUAAGUGAGUGCAAAUGCUCACAAGAUACAAUAGACGAGAAGACCCUAGAAAUUUUUAACUGUAGUUUUUGUUGGGGCAACAUAGUAACAAGAUAAUUUACUUUAUGUAUAUGAAAUGUGUUAGUUAAAAGAAAUUACUCUAGGGAUAACAGCAUAAUAUAGAAAUGUUUGUGACCUCGAUGUUGGAUUAGGAAGUUAUAACUUAG